GCCGGUCUGGGCCUCGUCCUCGUCCUCGUCCUCGGGGCGGGGGCUCCGUGCGGCGGCGGGCGGGGGCCGCGGCUCAGGGCGCUGAGGGGUCCCUUGCUCUGGUGCUGGCGGGGUCCCCGCGCCGAGAGGGCUCCUGGGCGACGCUGGGGGCGGCCGUACCCGUGCAGGAAUGUCAUGCUUCUAAACAAGAGAUAAACCUGCUGAACUCAGCAACGAAUUGAUGGAGGUGUGCAACAAAAUGGGUUGAAUGAGGGCUGAAUUACCUUACUCCACUGAAUUUUAUUUUCAUCAUGUUGUCUCAGCAGUACUGGAUGAACUGAAACUUCCUACAUCCUAGGGGAGAGCAUGUAUAAGAGGAAUGAGCUCAUGGCCAAUGUGAUGGUCACCUCUGCCACUCCAGAGGGUAGUAGCAGCUCAGAUUCUCUGGAAGGGCGAAGUUCAGAUUAUGCCACUAAAAGCUACGAUGCAGUUGUAUUUGAUGUGUUGAAAGUAACUCCCGAGGAGUUUGCUAGCCAGAUUACAUUGAUGGAUAUGCCAGUAUUUAAAGCUAUACAGCCUGAGGAACUAGCAAGCUGUGGAUGGAAUAAGAAAGAAAAACACAUCCUCGCUCCAAAUAUUGUUGCCUUUACUAGGAGGUUUAACCAGGUCAGUUUUUGGGUUGUACGAGAAAUAUUAACAGCACAGACCUUAAAAAUAAGGGCAGAAAUAUUGAGCCAUUUUGUGAAAAUAGCUAAAAAGCUUCUAGAACUGAAUAACCUUCAUUCUCUCAUGUCUGUGGUGUCAGCGCUGCAAAGUGCACCCAUCUUCAGACUGACCAAAACCUGGGCUCUUUUGAAUCGCAAAGACAAGACCACCUUUGAGAAGUUAGACUAUUUACUGUCUAAGGAAGAUAAUUAUAAAAGGACACGAGAGUACAUAAGGAGCUUAAAAAUGGUCCCUACUAUUCCAUAUUUAGGAAUUUAUCUCUUGGAUUUAAUCUACAUUGAUUCUGCAUAUCCCGCUUCAGGCAGCAUUAUGGAGAAUGAACAAAGAUCUAACCAAAUGAACAAUAUUCUUCGAAUAAUAGCUGAUCUGCAAGUCUCCUGUAACUAUGAUCAUCUUAUGACACUGCCCCAUGUGCAAAAGUAUUUGAAGUCUGUCCGUUACAUUGAAGAACUUCAGAAAUUCGUAGAAGAUGACAAUUAUAAAUUAUCAUUAAGAAUUGAACCAGGUAACAGCUCUCCUCGACUGGUUUCCUCCAAAGAAGAUCUUGCAGGUCCCUCUGACAUGUCAGCAAUUAUGAAAUUCAGCAGGAGACCCACGUGUCCUGAUGCUUCAGUAGCAGCAAGUCUACCUACACCUCCUGUACCACGGCACAGGAAGAGUCACAGCCUGGGAAACAACAUGAUGUGUCAGUUCAGUGUGGUGGAGAGCAAAAGUGCCACCUUCCCGACGGAGAAGCCGCGCCACCUCCUGGAUGACAGUGUCCUGGAGUCGCACAGCCCGGCCCGCGGCCACCCCCUGGACACGCUCCUCACCAACGGCCUGUCCAUAGAUAGCAGUGAAAGCUCAGAAUUUAGUGAGGAGCUGCCAUCAGGGCUUGAAAGGGGUCGUUUAUAUGCCACGCUGGGGCCUAACUGGAGGGCACCGAUCCGGAAUUCUCCUCGGAGUCGAAGCUGUGUCUACAGCCCAACAGGGGCCUGCAGCUGCACAGUAGGUAGUUCCACAGGAGAUGUUACCAUGGAAGGGCCAUUAAGAAGAAAAACAUUGCUCAAAGAAGGCAAGAAACCUACUCUCUCUUCAUGGACUAGAUACUGGGUUAUGCUUUCAGGGUCAACUCUUCUGUACUUUGGAGCAAAAUCUUUAAGAGGCACUGAAAGAAAACAUUAUAAAUCUACCCCUGGUAAAAAAGUCUCCAUUGUGGGCUGGAUGGUGGCACUGCCUGACGACCCUGAGCAUCCUGAUAUUUUCCAGCUAAAUAACCCUGACAAAGGCAAUGUUUACAAGUUCCAGACUGGUUCAAGGUUUCAUGCAAUAUUAUGGCAUAAGCAUUUGGAUGAUGCAUGCAAAAGCAACAAGCCUCAGGUACCUGCUAAUCUGAUGUCAUUCGAAUGAUGUGCUCUCCUACCUGGUGCAAAUUGAAGUGCCAAACUGAAGAAACAGGCUGUUGUUCUCUAAGGAGGAAAAGGAGAAUGGUUUUCCUGACAUGAGCCAGCCACAAAUACUUCAGCACUUUCCUAUGUAACUUGAAAGUGACUCUGACACAGCUUUUAAAACCAGAAAGAGAAUGUUGUCCUUAGGACCAGAUAUAGCCUCAUGCACUGAGUGAAAGCAGACAAAUUAGAUGGACAGAAGAUUAAUCCCAACUUCUGCAGGAUUCUAGAGCCCUCAAUUUUGUGGCCAUGAACUGAUGUUUGACCACAAACUGAACAUAUCUUCUGCCUAUUCUUUUUAAAACGGUUCUUUUUAUUGUUGAGCUGCUUUGUGUGACUGAAGAAUAUUUGGCCCAUGUUGGGUUUCAGUUCUUCCUUAUGCACAGAAUGAUUGACAGUGUUAACUUGUUGCAAAGUGUCAAUUAGAAUAGAAAAUUGUGAAAAAACAUUUUUAUAAUCUAAGUGCACUGAGUUGUUUGGCAAUGUGGCUGCCUCAGAUUUUGCAUCAAAUCUCUGGACAAUUCUGCUGUUCACAUUUGAGCUAUUUGGGAAAAAAUGUAUUUUGGCACAGGACAGUUGGUCCUGUUUAUUUUUUAUUAAUCUUAGUCAGGAAUGCCCUAACAAUGGAUUUAAAGUUGUUUAAAUUUAUGUCAUGCUAAAGGUCAUCUUUAAUUCUCUCACUAGUGGCAUAGUUGCUUACAGAUUUGUUUUUUAAUUCAGUCUGAAUGUUGUUCAUCUUAAAUCCCUUGGUACAGGGAAGCAGGUAAUUGGGUGUUACGUACCAUAUGUCCCUGGCUUCUCAGAAUGGUUCCAUAUCCUUGUUUCUGUUUGUCUUUCUAAAGUUGACUCAGCUCUAGUCAGUUCCAGUACAUGAUGCACCUUUCUGACAUAUAGGACUGGCACAUGGUAAUGCUGUUAGGAAAUUGUGAUGGCAAUGAAAGCUAGGCAAGACUGACAUUGGAGCAAAUACAAAGGAAAAAAAAUAGCUUUUUCCUCUGAAAGAGCUGCCUCUACAUCCAUAGUUGUAUCCCUGCUCUACCCUUGUAGCACUCCUGUGGAGUUUUUUUUUGAGUUCCCGUGCUAAGUUAAGUAAUUAAUUUUGUGUUUUAAACUCUUUUGCCAUAAGGCAUCAGUAUUCAGACUCCAUGAAUCACUGGGAAGCCUCUUCUGAGUUUCCUAAGGUUGCAUAGAGGAGACAUUUGCAAACCAAAGUCAAGCUUACAACCCGUGGCAAAAGUAGAAGUCAGUUUAACUGAACAGUGCCACCUACAUUAGAAGAAGCUCUCUGGCAUUAGGAGCAUUUAUUCUGUGGACCUGUAUGAUUUUCUAAAUUUUUAUUUUGAAACUUUUAUAACAAUAACAACAACAAAACCAAACCUGUAUUGUUAAACAUAGGUCAGUUUUGUGUUCUUUUAAGUGUUCAUGAGAAUGAAGGCUGAUACACACCAGCUUUUUGAGAAAACUGGUUCCUGACAAAAACUGCGUUUAAAUCCUGGUACAUGGGAAAAUAUAAAGUUGACAAAGUUUAUUUGAUAGCUCAGGAGUUGUGUGAAAAGAGUGGUAGUACAAAAUAUAUUUAUAACACUUUUUUCAUGCGUUAAGACAACUUUGAACUAGGAAAAUCAUCAGUAUCUGUGCAGGCCAAGCAUCCAAUGCCUUUAGAGACAGUGUAGAGGCUUUUGAACAUGGUAAAAUGCUGUCAGGAGUAAAUUACUUCAGACUGUUAGAAUAUGAUAUAAUCUGAACUAUUCUGCACCUCUGGCCUUUUGUGAUUAGUUAUCAAAAAAUAGGUUUACUCAUGUAAAGACAACAGAGCAUAUUGGAGAAGUUACAAAAGAUCCAUUUUCACUUGCUUGUAAAACGGAUUCCCAACUAGAAAGGAAGCAUCUUUGCCAUAAACCAUGAUGUGCCCCAAAACAACGUGGCUUGAAUGAAAGGCAAUAAUUCAAAACGAUUCUUACACCCAGUUAUUUGUCACUGGCAGAAGAUGAAUGCCUGGAGAAAUUAAAAACUUCAAUCCUACUUAGUUCUCAAACUCAAAUCCUACUCAAAGCCUUGGAAUUUGGAAAUAUGUCAAAAGUAACUUAAAUUCCCUCACACUACUAUAAUUUGAAUGUUAAAAGCAUUAUAUAGAAGAAAGAAGGAACACAGCAAAUAGUAGUUUUACACAGUAGUCCAGUAAAGAUCUUUCAAUAGGGCACAGUUGUGAAAUUGCUGCACAACACAAAAAAGUUCAGAAUGAUGGCAGUGUAAGAAUACUAUAAAAUUGUCUUAAACUAUUUUUAUAUUAGUUUUUAAAUAUUACAGUUUAUAGCUGCUAAUUUGAGUUUUUAUGCUGUCAUUUGGUACCAUUUGCUAUUAUCUGGUACUUUUAAUGUGGAUUGAAAGCUGCUAUUGAAAUACAAAAUACUGCUUAUCAGUACUGAUUAAUACAGCAUUUUCACAAAAAAUUACAAGUUAUCAUCCAACAAAGAGAGUAACUGCAAUAGUUGUGUGAAAAUAAACAUUAUAUAAAAAUUACUCUUUUCAGAAUUGUGAAGAUAUAAAAACUAUGUAGGCAAUAUUAUUAAUUUAUUAAUGUGAAAUUUUGAUGCAUUCAGUGCCAAAAUACAUGUUUCUCCAAAUAGCACUAAAAUGAGGCAAAAAAAGUAGUUUUAAAAUUACCACUUAUUUGUCACAUUGUAAUGUAAACCAGUUUCAACAUUUUGGUUUAUUUUGUGUGAAAAUUGUUGCACUAUUUUUGGCUGUAUUUUCCAGCAGUCCGCUGCAUGCCAUUUGUGUAAAGAUUCUUUCUGUAAUUCUUGUGAGCUGUCUCACCCAUAAUAACCUUGGUGUUGGAAUCUAGGUUUUUGGCGAAGUAUUUUGUUACCUCAGUCUUGUAUCAAGUUGCUGUAUUUUUCAGUUUGUUAUAUUGAUAAUGAUUGUUUGACUAAUUAAAUACUUUAAUGUAAAAAAAAAAAAAAGUUUGCUUAUUUCAGCAACAAAUGCGUUUGUUUGUUAAGUUUAAAAAUGUGCAGAGUAUGCCUGUGGUUAACAAUAAGAUAUUCUGACGUAGAAUAGUAGAGGUAUAGAAGGAAUGUUUUAGCUCAAAGGCAGCAAGUAUGCUUUAUUUGUGAAUGAACAGACUUCAUAGUGCAUAGUGUGUAGCCAUUUAAUAGUAUAAAUACCACAGAACCCAAAUUUCUAACAAAAUUGAAAAACCCUCCAUUUGCUGUUCUUUCAGGUUGGAAGUCCCAAGAAGUAGAGAUGAAUCUAUCCUGUUUUUUUUCUUAAGAAAACGUAUUUUACCACUGCAAAAUUGUAUGUUCACUUGGAUACCAAGUGUUGAAAUGAAGUUUCAAUGAGAACCUUGAAACACAGAGCAGAGCUGACAGGGAUAGCCUAGCAAUUGAAUGUUCAGUAGAACUUUCUCUUGGAAGAGAUCAUCGUGGAAAUGUUGACCAGUGUCCAUCUUCUUUGAUAACUUCUCUUCUUAUUUGUAUCAUUUUUCUCUUGAUCCCCAUGUGUAAGAAAUUGAGAAAGGAAGACAAGAGACUGGCAUGAAUAAAUCAAGACCUGCUGCUCUAACUACAAGGCAAGAAGGAACCGCAUGGUGGAAGCAGGGACAGGUGUGCUGGGAAGAGUACAGGGACACAGCCAGUUGUGUUGGGAUGGGAUCUGGAAGGACAAGGCAUUGCUGCAGCUGAUACAGCAAGGGAUGUAAAGAAUAGUAAGAAGGGCUUCUUCAAGUACAUCAGCCAGAAAAGGGAAAGUGUACCCCCCGAUGAACACAACUGGCAAAUUGGUGACAACAGAUGAAGAGAAAGGCAACAAGACAGAAAAUAAAGGGAGCACAUUAGGAAGGAAAAGCAGCAAUCACUAUGUUCCACAUUGCCAUUAUUAUAGUUAUAGAGGCAAAUUGAAGAGGAGAAAGACGACUACUUUCUGCAUUGCAGUAUUUCACUAUAAGGCAUGCUCCAUCUCCAGAAGUGCAAAAGACUCUCUAAUGAGAUAAUUACAUUCAAUUGGCAGUAAAAUAAAAACGUCAAUAGGAAAUGUAGCAAUUCCCAGGCAGUCGAUGUGCUGAUUAACCAUUAGGGGAAGCAUCUGUGGAGUUCAUGUGGCUAUCCGGUUCCUUUGACAUCAAGCUGCCUCUUGUCUUGCUGCCCUCUUUGAGCUCUGAGGAGGCAAAGAAAGGGGGGAAUGAUUUAAUGUCAGAGAUACCAACUUCUGCACCGACCCCUGACUCAUGGCUACUGUGUGGCAGGAGCACAUUUGUUUCAGUCUGAUGUUUCACUCUGGAGAGAUCACAACAUAACACACUGCCACAUCAUAAAGGUAGGAAACAAAAAAAGGAUUAAUGGAGUGUGUGUGUGACCCGGAGUGAGCUCAGAAAAUGGCUGGUUAGGCCAAGGCUGUCAGUUAUUAAGAUCACUCUACAAAACUGGGAUCAUCCUAAUGGAGAUUGAAACCAGUCUGCUGAUAUCUUGCAGUUCCCCCUGCUGUGUAAGCUUGCUGAGCUUGUGUCUCAGAGGUGAAUUGUUUUAGGACAGAUACACCUGCACUGUAACCCCUUAGCUCUAUGAUAUACCGGCAGUCUAGAUGAAGGUGUUUUCUAAUUGAUUGGGGUGUUUUUCUAAUUCUUCUGUCUCUGAAAUGUUGAUUCAGUACUUAGCGGAAACUGGAUUUGGGCUUGCAUGAAUUUUGUGUUAUUAAAUGCUUGUGAUUUUA